rnacentral:rRNA from 1 species
AGCGAACGCUGGCGGCAGGCUUAACACAUGCAAGUCGAGCGGGCAUCCUUGUGGUGUCAGCGGCAGACGGGCGAGUAACGCGUGGGAACGUGCCCUUCGGUUCGGAAUAACUCAGGGAAACUUGAGCUAAUACCGGAUACGUGCGAGAGCAGAAAGGUUUAUCUGCCGAAGGAUCGGCCCGCGUCUGAUUAGCUAGUUGGUGAGGUUACGGCUCACCAAGGCGACGAUCAGUAGCUGGUCUGAGAGGAUGAUCAGCCACACUGGGACUGAGACACGGCCCAGACUCCUACGGGAGGCAGCAGUGGGGAAUAUUGGACAAUGGGGGCAACCCUGAUCCAGCCAUGCCGCGUGAGUGAUGACGGCCUUAGGGUUGUAAAGCUCUUUUCUCCGGGACGAUAAUGACGGUACCGGAGGAAUAAGCCCCGGCUAACUUCGUG